rnacentral:lncRNA from 1 species
CUAACUGCUGGCUCUUUCUUUUUCCAGAUCAAUCUUCUAAUUUAAUAUUUUAUGGAAAAGGGUGUGCAACUGAAAAUACUUGCUCACUGGAUAUGAAUGUCUUCAAUAACAUAAAGAUUAAAACCUUGUGCAUCCCAGCAACCAAUGGAAGCCCCACCUUCAAAUCCAUUGCAUCACUUCCAAUUGUUCUGCUCCUCCUGAAAAUCUUGCUUUGAUCAUCCAGGCACUGACAAUCCCACAAUACUAUGCAAUAGACCCAUUGGUAUACUUGGAUGGCUAUUUCCAAAACAUGGAACAAAUGAAAACUGUUCUUUAUGUAAAAACUUAAGUUCAUUUUUUUGUAAUACCAGGAAACAUACAAAGAUGACUAUGUCUGAAUGUCCCCUCUUCUCCUUAAUAUAAUACUAGAAGUCCUAGCCAGAGUAAUUAGACCAAUCAAAGCAGUAAGCAAGUGAAAUUAAAUCUGAAGAAAGAAAUUGGUAAAAAUACUAGAAGAAAACAUCUGUGUGUAUGUGUGUGCACAUGUGUGCACACAUAUAUACAUGUAUGUAUGUGAUAUUGGAGAGAACUUUUAGGCAUUAACCUAAGUAUUCUUUCUGCCUAAGUUGGUGUUUCUAACAGCUUGGUGAGGAAAGGGUUCAUUUCAGCUUAUAACUCUCAGAUCAUCAUGUUCCAUUGCUUUUUUAUAAUUUGUAAUAAAAAUUUGGUCAACUG